UACGUAGGGUCCGAGCGUUGUCCGGAAUUAUUGGGCGUAAAGGGCUCGUAGGCGGUCCGUCACGUCGGGAGUGAAAACUCAGGGCUCAACCCUGAGCGUGCUUCCGAUACGGGCGGACUAGAGGUAUGCAGGGGAGAACGGAAUUCCUGGUGUAGCGGUGGAAUGCGCAGAUAUCAGGAGGAACACCUGCGGCGAAGGCGGGUUGCUGGGCUGACACUGACGCUGAUGCGCGAAAGCUAGGGGGAGCGAACGGG
rnacentral:rRNA from 1 species